GAUGAAGAACGCAGCGAAAUGCGAUAAGUAGUGUGAAUUGCAGAAUUCAGUGAAUCAUCGAGUCUUUGAACGCACAUUGCGCCCCCUGGUAUUCCGGGGGGCAUGCCUGUCCGAGCGUCAUUGCUGCCCUCAAGCACGGCUUGUGUGUUGGGCCUCCGUCCUCCUCCCGGGGGACGGGCCCGAAAGGCAGCGGCGGCACCGCGUCCGGUCCUCGAGCGUAUGGGGCUUCGUCACCCGCUCUUGUAGGCCCGGCCGGCGCUUGCCGACACAUCAAUCUUUUUUCCAGGUUGACCUCGGAUCAGGUAGGGAUACCCGCUGAACUUAAGCAUAUCAAUAAGCGAGGA
rnacentral:misc_RNA from 1 species